UGUUGGACUGUGUUUUAUUUCAUGAUACUGAAAGGUUAACAGUUAGCGUAGUUAUAAUAACAUUUGUUUUCAGCUGUAUCAGUCUGUUUUUUAUGUGUUGCAAACAAGGUUGGGAGUUACAGGUAAUGUGAAUUCACUAACCCGGCUAACGCUUCUAGCUUUGCUAACAUGUAGCAUGUUACUUCUAGAAUUACUGUGAAUGCAGUUAAAGUCUGACUCAUAUUUAUCUCCAACUCUUUCAUUCCACUUAAUGUGCCCUGUUAUGUGUAGUGUAUGUGUUCCACCUUAAGAAAGAAAGAGAUAUUCUUCCUUAACAAAGAGAGGUCUUUGUUAAUAAAGUUUGUUCAAAUUAGUGAGGUCACUUCCUUUAAAAAUUAGGAAGAGAAGCCUAAGAAAUAAACAGGCUCUCAUCAUCCAAAGCCAUCUUGCAUUUAGGAUUGAAAAACAAAUGUUUUUUUACUCCCUGUUCACUGAAAGAGUCCAGUGAAACAACAAAACUUUACAACGACGACUCACCGGAUUCUUUGAAAGGACUAAGAAAACCCGGCCCCUCCUCUAGCAGAUUCUUUCCCUCUUCGCCUCGGCCCGGUCCUGUACAGCGGCAGGUCUUUGUCUGGAGCCCGCCUGUAAUUGGUGCCGCUUGGGGAGCAGGGAUGUGUACGACGGAAGGCAGGUCAAACGCGGCGAAGGCUGUGACAUGGGUGACAUCCAAACUCACCCGGUGUUUUCAUGUCCUUAGGGCCAGCCCCUGGAGGAACAAGAGCACGAGAGAAGUGAGAAGUGAGGAAGAAUGGGCCUCCUCUUCCCGACACAAUGAGAGCCAUUGAAGAAAGGGAAUGAGCGGGAUGGCAGCGGGGAGGAGACAGUGUCCCACUAUGACGAGCAGUGGGUCAUUGUCAGCGCCUCUGACUGUAAUGCUACAUACACGCCGCCCUCGGCAACCCGCGUUCACCAGACCACUUUCAAUGAAAGAUCUAUGUAAACGUGUGUUUUUACAACCAUUUUGGGGCUCUACAAAAAAAAUGUGAGUUCAUUGAGAGCAUAUUAAAAAUUAACCAGGUUGAACUUUGACCAAUCAGAGACUUGGAUUUGGUAUUGACAUAUCAACACGUUCUCAUCCCCAAGUCGCUGCAUAUUGACUUUUGGUUAAGGACACCUCCACGUCACUUUUGAACGUUUUGGAUGUCCCCAACUCAUCGUUUUUUGAUGUGCCGGCUGUUACAAUUAAAUCACGAGUCCCCAACAUCCAGGCCCCGAACCGGUCCAGUACUGGGACGUGGAGCGGACCGGUACCUAAACUCGGCAUCUGUACUCCAACCCUAACUAGAUGCGAUACGGAUCCCAAACCACUACCAGAUGCGGUACCGGGCAUGAACUGGAUGUGUUACCGGAUGCAAACAGUACUGGUACUAGAUGCGUCCAAAGGACCAGCCCGCAUUCAGUACCGCAUCUGAUACUGUGUUCUGAGGUCUGCAGACCCUUGAUUUUACGCUAGCACGUCAAGAACACAACAAGUUAGGGAUACCCAAAACGAGUUGGGGAUGAGAAUGUUGGCAUCCCUUUUCAUUCAUACAAGCGCCAACUGUUUAAAAAAUAAUUAUGGAGCAGAAACUAAUAAUUGUAGUCAACAAACCAAAAGAAGCAAGUAACUAUGAUAUAAAAAUAAAUUCAAAUGUUUAACGAUUAAAUAAAACAACUGAUAGAAAUAUAAGUCAUUUGUAAAGUAGAACAAUAAAAACAGAUGAAAAAUAAAAAAAUAAAAAAAAACUCAGCAUUUAAAUGGAGUGGAAAUAGGGUGAACAAUGCAUGCCGCCUGCAUGCUCUCUCUCUGCUGCUGCUGAGCUCUCACAGGACUGGUGAGGGUGGUGAGGCAGCGACUCAGCUGGGGCCUUUUGGCCGAUACAGAAAAGCUUCAAACAAGAGUGGAAAUAUCACACUACUCUUUACUAAGAUGAAAACUGAAGUCAUGGCAGCAGAUGUGAAAGCAUUAUCGUGAGCCACUUGGACUUCAUAGAAUUAGACUUCACAAUAACUGUUAACUUAAAAACAGAAGACUGGCAGCUAAAAUCUCAUGUCCUCCAAACUCAGGUAAGCGACACUGAAAGCUGCAUUGAUAAUCGUUUCAUAAUCGAAUCGUUGCACCCUGAAUUGUGAUCAAAUCAAAUCGUGAGAUGCCUCAAGAUGUGAACACCAUACGCAAGUUCUAGAAGACAACAAGUGCAGCAUGGCCAGCGUGAACUUAGCAUCAUAGCUCUUCCUGUUUGUCACAGGAAAUUAUACAGAAGGUCGAAUCUUCACUUUUGUGGGUGUGACUCCAUACAGCUACCCAAACUGUAGAAAUUGUAUUUUUUAUCCAACACCCUAGAAUUUAUCUCCAUAAACUGAAAAAAAAAGAAAAAA